UACGAAGGGUGCAAGCGUUACUCGGAAUCACUGGGCGUAAAGGGCGCGUAGGCGGCUCAUGAAGGCUGUGGUGAAAGUCCGGGGCUCAACCUCGGAUCGGCCGUGGCGACUCGUGGGCUGGAGCACUGUAGAGGCGGGUGGAAUUCCGGGUGUAGCGGUGGAAUGCGUAGAGAUCCGGAAGAACACCAGUGGCGAAGGCGGCCCGCUGGGCAGUGGCUGACGCUGAAGCGCGACAGCGUGGGGAGCAAACAGG
rnacentral:rRNA from 1 species